rnacentral:rRNA from 1 species
UACAGAGGGGGCAAGCGUUAUUCGGAAUUAUUGGGCGUAAAGGGCGCGUAGGCGGCCUGGCAAGUGGAAGGUGAAAUCCCUCGGCUUAACCGAGGAACUGCCUCCCAAACUGCUUGGCUUGAGACCGGGAGAGGUGAGUGGAAUUCCCAGUGUAGCGGUGAAAUGCGUAGAUAUUGGGAGGAACACCAGUGGCGAAGGCGGCUCACUGGAUCGGUACUGACGCUGAGGCGCGAAAGCGUGGGGAGCGAACAGG